CAGCCCUUGGGGCGGGGAGGGGGUUCCCUCGGCGUGAUUGCGGUGACGCGCUCCGGGAGCCGUGGGCUGCGCGUGGGGCGCGGCUGCUGACUGCAGGCUCGGGGAAGCCCUUGGAAAAGACUGUUCAGGUGUCAGCGAAGUUCUCAGCUACGCUGGAAAAAUGGAAGGAAACCCCGGCAGGCGCGGUGGUGCCCCGUUGUAAUUCCAGCACUCGGGAGGCUGAGGCCGGAGAAUCAUCGCGAGUUCGAGGCCAGACUGGGCUACACAGUAGAAGUAGCCCAAUUCAGUACAAUGGCACAGGAAAAACCAGAUUUGCAAGUUUUGGAGGAGAUCAAAAGUGAUUCAUCAGAUUACUAAUGCAUGGAUGAUGAAGAUGACCCAUUAUGGUACCUUGUUCAGGGGAACCUGUUCACCCUGGACAGGGAUGGAUGCGUAAUCUGACAGGAACGUGCAAUUAUCAUGUGUGAAGACUGCCUUGGGUGUGACAGUUGAAGCAAAGCUUAUUUCUGUGGUAGACUUCUGUUUGUGUUUACA